CGUUUAAUCCCAAUCAUUGAUCUCCAUUGGUGAAAUGGUUGGGAACCAAGGCCUCCUGUUCUAUAUAUGUGUUUGAACUGAUACCCUCUCCCUCCUCCCCAGUCAAACCUCAGUCUGUCUCUAACCUUCCAAAUCCUAGAAAUCUGCCGCCCCAAAAUUCCCGUCAUCUCCUACCGGCGGUUCAACCGUAAUUAACCCCAAACUUACACCCUAUAACCGCCAAGCCUCCCCAAACUCGAAUCCCUUGGAGUUUUUCCCAAAUAAAUUUUGAAUUCAUCAAAUAUAAAUCCAAAUUUACCCUAAUUUCGGAGUUUAAGGUCUCUUGAAGCUUCUGCUUGUCUUGGCUCGAAGCUGGCUAUAGUAGACCAUUCUUGACUAGAGUGGUCAUUAAGGUCUCUUCAAGCUUCGUCGAAGUGUCCCAUGUUUGUUCAUCUAUGCUAAUACUCUCCAUUUUUUGGUGAGUCAUUCAUCUCUUUUUCUUUAUUUUUAUUUUUCUAUUUUUGUCUCCUCGGAUUCUUUCCUUUUUAUUUAUUUCUUUUUUGUUCAGUUAUUUUUUUCUUAAAUGUUACAUUAGAGUAUUUGAAUGGGAUUUUGAUUUUAUUUUCGUUCAAAUUAGUUAAUUGAUAAAACAACCUAGCACAUUCUAGUUCAGGGUAGUUACAAUUUGCUUUGAUUAGUUCAAUUCCGUUUGUUUAUUGAAAUCAGUUAGCCCUAAGGUUUACUAUUUAGAUAUUGAUGCCUAGUUCUUCUCUUUUGGGUUGUUGGUUCACCCCUGUUUGGGUUGGACGAGCCCAUGGAUUUUGGUUUAGGUCUUCGCCAAUUUGACCCUGGAAUGAUUCACUCUAGGUGAAAAUUCAAGGUUGUCAAAGGGUGUUUGGGGUUAUUUGAAGCUUAGGGAAUAUUAUUCUAUCAUGGGAAGCUUAUAGAGAUAAAUCUAGGGUGGUUUGUUAGGAGAUAGUAUUCAGAUAUUUUGAAGGGGUUAAGGGGUAAAAUAACUAAGAAAAUAAGGGAUAGAAGAGGAAUUAUCUAACUAGGCUAGGGUUGCCUUAAGAGUGUCUAUAUAAAGAGCAUAUUCCUCCAUUUUUAGUAGCCAUUCAUAAUUCUAAAAAGACAUACAAAAGGUUUCUGCAUUACACUGAAAUUGGGUUGAACAUUUCUCUAAUUUUUUUCAUUGGCCAAAAAUCAUAGAAAUUUUCAUGGGAAUUCUUGGUUUACUAAGCUGAACUUGGUUGGGUUGAACCUGUAGUUUUGAUUGUUGCUGCUGCUCUUUGCUCUUAGUUUUGUUGUUUCGUUUGUUCAUAUUGGCUGAAGUUCAUGACUUUUCUCUUCUUUGUUGUUGUAACCAGGCACCCUCGCAUGCCUUGAAAAAUGCAAAAAUGAAGAAUAAAUUGCUUGACUUGAAGUUGAAAUAACAGGAUUUAUUUAGUUUGAUGCAUGAUUGCUUUCUUUCUUCAAUUUGUUGUUCUUUUGCUAUUUGUUAAGUUUGUUUAACAAUGACGUUUGGUGCCUAGUUCAUUCACACUGUUAGGGAACUGUUUGAUUUCUUUACAUGGAUUUGAGCACGUUUUACCAUAUUCAGGGAUUGUAAUAUCUGUCUAUGGCCAUCUGGUUUUGCUCUGUUGUGGGCUCGAUUUGAGCCCAAUAGCCUUCAACAUUUUCUAGUUUCUUAUGUGUAGAUUUAUUCAAUAAGAAAACGAUUUCGAUAAAGAAUUUGAUUCAAAGUUCAAUUAAAUUUCUUAUUUCGAUAAGCAUGCAAUUAAUUUGCUUAAAUUGGAGUUUGAUUGUUGGGAUAUUUUUAGAUUUUGGGCUCAAUGAUGGCCUAGUGGAAAUGGCUAAGUCGAUUGGGCUGUUUCCUUUCAUCUGCCUGUUCCCUUGGAUUAAAUUCCAUCCCAGCCCUUUCUUAUAACAAAAUAUGUUCUCGAACGUAAUUAGAGUCAUCUUCCUUGAUUCGGAAUUUUGAAC
rnacentral:lncRNA from 1 species